GACGAACGCUGGCGGCGUGCCUAAUACAUGCAAGUAGGACGCAGUUGCGAACGGGUGAGUAACGCGUCGGUAACUGCCUCGUAGAGGGGGAUAACUAUUGGAAACGAUAGCUCAUACCGCAUACUGGUAGAUGGACCUGCGUUGUAUUAUGUAGUAGGUAGGGUAAUGGCCUACCUAGGCAACGAGACAUAUCCGACCCGAGAGGGUGAUCGGACCCACUGGGACUGAGACCAGGCUCCAACUCCUAAGGGAGGCAGCAGGAGGGAAUCUUCGGCAAUGGGGGGAACCCUGACUGAGCAACGCCGCGUGAGUGAAGAAGGGUUUCGGAGCGUAAAGCUCUGUUGUUAAGGAAGCGUUACUUAAACAGAAAGGGACGGCUAACUCCGUGCCAGCAGCCGCGGUAAUUC
rnacentral:rRNA from 1 species